GAUGAACGCUGGCGGCGUGCCUAAUACAUGCAAGUCGAGCGAACAGACGAGGAGCUUGCUCCUCUGACGUUAGCGGCGGACGGGUGAGUAACACGUGGAUAACCUACCUAUAAGACUGGGAUAACUUCGGGAAACCGGAGCUAAUACCGGAUAAUAUAUUGAACCGCAUGGUUCAAUAGUGAAAGACGGUUUUGCUGUCACUUAUAGAUGGAUCCGCGCCGCAUUAGCUAGUUGGUAAGGUAACGGCUUACCAAGGCAACGAUGCGUAGCCGACCUGAGAGGGUGAUCGGCCACACUGGCACUGAGACACGGUCCAGACUCCUACGGGAGGCAGAAGUAGGGAAUCUUCCGCAAUGGGCGAAAGCCUGACGGAGCAACGCCGCGUGAGUGAUGAAGGUCUUCGGAUCGUAAAACUCUGUUAUUAGGGAAGAACAAAUGUGUAAGUAACUAUGCACGUCUUGACGGUACCUAAUCAGAAAGCCACGGCUAACUACGUG
rnacentral:rRNA from 1 species